CAACAGAAUACUACUCAGCCAAAAAAAGAGAAUGAAGUCUUGCUAUUUAUGACACCAUGGAUGCACCAUGAGGGUAUCAUGGAGAAGAAGGACAAAUGUUAACAGAAUUUUCUCACAUAGACCAAUGAGUUUGCAGAUAAAAUUCUGUUAGGGUGCCAGUAUCCUAAGAUGUCCGCAAACUGACUGGAAGGAUAUAUGGUAAGAAUUAACAAACUAAGUCAUCAGUUCCAACUGAGAUAAACUCUCCCCAAACCUCCCCAAGGUUCCAG
rnacentral:lncRNA from 1 species